GCGUGAUCGAGCUCUGUAACGGGGUAGGACACGAAGCCUCUUGCAAAUUAACACAGGUUCUCCUACUCAACUCCCAUUCCGACACGUCCUCGCCGUGCAGAGUGGCAGCACACUCCAUCAAUUAAUCCAAGCUUAGGUAUACGGGUUUGACCUACCCCCUUGGGCGGAUUGUGAUAUGCGGUGGAAUAGAAGGGG
rnacentral:ribozyme from 1 species